rnacentral:rRNA from 1 species
UCUUGAGAGCGGCGGACGGGUGAGUAAUGCCUAGGAAUCUGCCUGGUGGUGGGGGAUAACGUUCGGAAACGGACGCUAAUACCGCAUACGUCCUACGGGAGAAAGCGGGGGACCUUCGGGCCUCGCGCCAUUAGAUGAGCCUAGGUCGGAUUAGCUUGUUGGUGAGGUAAUGGCUCACCAAGGCGACGAUCCGUAACUGGUCUGAGAGGAUGAUCAGUCACACUGGAACUGAGACACGGUCCAGACUCCUACGGGAGGCAGCAGUGGGGAAUAUUGGACAAUGGGCGAAAGCCUGAUCCAGCCAUGCCGCGUGUGUGAAGAAGGUCUUCGGAUUGUAAAGCACUUUAAGUUGGGAGGAAGGGUAGUAACUUAAUACGUUGCUACUUUGACGUUACCGACAGAAUAAGCACCGGCUAACUUCGUGCCAGCAGCCGCGGUAAUACGAAGGGUGCAAGCGUUAAUCGGAAUUACUGGGCGUAAAGCGCGCGUAGGUGGUUCAGUAAGUUGGAAGUGAAAUCCCCGGGCUCAACCUGGGAACUGCUUUCAAAACUGCUGAGCUAGAGUACGGUAGAGGGUAGUGGAAUUUCCUGUGUAGCGGUGAAAUGCGUAGAUAUAGGAAGGAACACCAGUGGCGAAGGCGACUACCUGGACUGAUACUGACACUGAGGUGCGAAAGCGUGGGGAGCAAACAGGAUUAGAUACCCUGGUAGUCCACGCCGUAAACGAUGUCAACUAGCCGUUGGGUUCCUUGAGAACUUAGUGGCGCAGCUAACGCAUUAAGUUGACCGCCUGGGGAGUACGGCCGCAAGGUUAAAAC